rnacentral:tRNA from 3 species
CGGUGGCUAGCCCGGUGAUCACGGCUUCGUAGGCUGUGGCGGCUGCGUUCAGCUCGGCUGCCAACCCGUUCCACGCGGAAGCUGCGGCC